rnacentral:rRNA from 1 species
UACGGGGGGGGCAAGCGUUGUUCGGAAUUACUGGGCGUAAAGGGCGCGUAGGCGGUGUGUCAAGUCAGGCGUGAAAGCCCCGGGCUCAACCUGGGAACAGCGCUUGAGACUGGCACGCUCGAGUUCGGGAGAGGAUGGUGGGAAUUCCCAGUGUAGAGGUGAAAUUCGUAGAUAUUGGGAAGAACACCGAUGGCGAAAGGCAGCC